ACACACACACACACACACACACACACACACACACACACACACACACACACACACACACACCCUCACAGCUAGUGUAGACUACCAGUGAAAUGCUUUCCAGAAAUGUAGAGAGAAACAUUUUAACAAAUUAUAACAAGUGGAAUAAAUCCACAAUGAGUAAGGAUAACUUGGCGAUAUACACGGGGUAGCAGUACUGAAUCCAUGUCCAGGGGUACGAGGUAAUGGAGUUCCAUAUGUAGAUAUAGGUAGGAGUAAAGUGACUAGGCAACAGGGUAGAUAAUAAACAGUAGCAGCAGUGUCUGUAAUGAGUCAAAAGAGUUAGUGCAGAUAGUGGGGGUAAAAGCUGUGUGCCGGGUCCUGUUAGUUCCAGACUUCAGUACAGCUUUCUGUGCAGAAGCAGGGAGAACAGUAUAUGACUUUGGUGGCUGGAGUCUUCCUCUGACACCACCUGGUAUAGAGGUCCUGGAUAGCAGGGAGCUCAGCACCAGUGAUGUACUGGGCCGUACACACUAUCCUAUGAAGCGCCUUGCGGUCGGAUACCAAGUGGUGAUGCAGCCAGUAAAGACGCUCUCAUUGGUGCAGCUGUAGAAGGGGAAGAGUUGUGCCUUCUUCAUGACUUUGUUGGUGUGUGUGGGCUAUGCUAAUUCCUUAGUGAUGUGGACACCCAGGAGCUUAAAGCUCUUGACCCGCUCCACUACAGCCCUAUCGAUGUGGAUGGGGAUGUGCUCUGCCCUCUGUUUCCUGUCGUCCACAAUUGGCUCCUUUGUCUUGCUGACAUUGAGGGAGAGGUUGUUGUCCUGAACACCACACUGCCAGGUCACUGACCUCCUCCCUAUAGGGUGUCUCAUCGGGUCGUGUCAUCAGCAAACAUAAUGAUGGAGUCGUGAGCAGCCAGGCAGUCGUGGUUGAACAGGGAGUACAGGAGGAGACUAAGCACACACUCCUAAGUGAGCCCUUGUUGAGGGUGAGAGUGGCGGUCGUGUUAUUGCCUACCCUCACCACCUGGGGGCGGCCUGUCAGGAAGUCCAGGAUUCAGUUUCAGACAGUAGUGUUCAGUCAAAGGGUCCUGAGCUUAGUGAUGAGAUUUGUGGGCACUAUGGUGUUGAACGCUGAGCUGUAGUCAAUGAACUGUGUUCUCACAUGGGAGAGGGCAGUGUGGAAUGCAAUAGAGGUUACGUCAUCUGUGGAUCUGUUGGGGUGGUAUGCAAAUUUAAUUGGAGUGGGUAUGUGAAUUGGAGUGGGUCCACACACAGAGAGAGAGAGAUUUCAUUUCAUCAGUGAGAGGCUCUCCUGAGGGGAUGAGACUGUGAGGAGAGGUGUAGAGCAGCAACAUUAAGACAUCUGGAUGUCUCAUUACUGACCACUAUACUGCAGACAUCUGGAGGUCUGAUUACUGACCACUAUACUGCAGACAUCUGGAGAUCUGAUCACUGAUCACUAUACUGCAGACAUCUGGAGGUCUGAUUACUGACCACUAUACUGUAGACAUCUGGAGGUCUGAUUACUGACCACUAUACUGCAGACAUCUGGAGGUCUGAUUACUGACCACUAUACUGCAGACAUCUGGAGGUCUGAUUACUGCCCACUAUACUGCAGACAUCUGGAGGUCUGAUUACUGACCACUAUACUGCAGACAUCUGGAGGUCUGAUUACUGACCACUAUACUGCAGAC